UGCCGGGUGGUGUAUUGGGUAACACGCCUGCCUUUGAAGCAGGAGACACUAGGUUCGAACCCUAGCCCGGCAGCCA
rnacentral:tRNA from 6 species